rnacentral:rRNA from 1 species
GAUGAACGCUGGCGGCGUGCCUAAUACAUGCAAGUCGAGCGAACAGACGAGGAGCUUGCUCCUCUGACGUUAGCGGCGGACGGGUGAGUAACACGUGGAUAACCUACCUAUAAGACUGGGAUAACUUCGGGAAACCGGAGCUAAUACCGGAUAAUAUAUUGAACCGCAUGGUUCAAUAGUGAAAGACGGUUUUGCUGUCACUUAUAGAUGGAUCCGCGCCGCAUUAGCUAGUUGGUAAGGUAACGGCUUACCAAGGCAACGAUGCGUAGCCGACCUGAGAGGGUGAUCGGCCACACUGGAACUGAGACCCGGUCCAGACGCCUACGGGAGGCAGCAGUAGGGAAUCUUCCGCAAUGGGCGAAAGCCUGACGGAGCAACGCCGCGUGAGUGAUGAAGGUCUUCGGAGCGUAAAACUCUGUUAUUAGGGAAAAACAAAUGUGUAAGUAACUAUGCACGUCUUGACGGUACCUAAUCAGAAAGCCACGGCUAACUACGUG